rnacentral:sRNA from 1 species
UUACAGUGUCAAAAGUCAUGCUCCACGUCAUGCUCGCAUGUAAGUGGAGACAUGACUUUAUGACACGCCCCACAAUGAGCAUGAAGUGGUGUGUAACACCAUGAAAAUGCGAAUUGUGAGGCAGAUUGUGGGAAUUGCGUAGCAACUAAACAAUCUGU